UCUAGGUUUACAGAUCUACAGCGUGGGACAAGAAGACAUCAUAGCCUCUGCCUUUUGGAGACCAUAGAAACAUUUGCUCUGGGGAAAUGCUAAGUAACAACCUACACCAUUAAUUCUUUAAAAACGACUGUGACUCAGUGCCAGGAAGAAGACUUUGUAAAAGCAAUGCUGCAGUUGAACCUGACAACCUGUUACCAUGAUGUAGAGAAGCCAGUGCAACAGAAGAGAGGACAUGUUUAAUCUCGUCUUUGCGACUUGUCUCUUGUAUCACUGAAAAUCGUAUUUGUGGGAAGCUGAGGCGGGCGGAUCACGAGAACCUACAUUGACCAGAGACUUUGCAGCCAGCUCACCCCUCCAACUCCCUGCCCUGGAGUCCCUGACCCGGGAACUUCUGCAUCAGGCUGCUCAAACCUGAACUUGACAAAAUUUCAAAGCACCAAUUCUUUAUGUUGACAUGACAAUGGACAAAGUGCUGAACCUGGAACCUAGAUCACUCGAUGUUGCCUGUAGCUAAGUCCACUUCUGUCACUCACCCUGCGUUUCCCUGCUAGGAGCAAGAGAGAGAAAGCCAGCCAGAAGGCAUGGGUGUGGGCUCAGAUCUGGCUCCUCCUGUCGCCACUGUGAAAGUUGAUCAUACAAAGGUCACUGUGGUCAUAGGCAAGCAGAGUUAGGAGAUCGGGAAAAAGCACGUUGCUCCAAGAAUAGAACUGUCUCCAACCCUGGCUGCUGGAACACGUGUUGCAACCUGAAACCAGUUUGAUCUAAUAGCUACUGAAACGACCUGUGGGAAUCCAAGACUGGUUCCACCCGCCCACCAAUCAGAGCUUGCUGGAUCCCCAAAACGUUUCCAGCACGAAUGAACUUGCUUUCCUAACAAUCCGUUAACAUUUCUCAUUUUUAUGAAACCUCCUACCUUCUCUUUGCUCUUUGGACAUACUGAAGACCGCCCAGUCUGUGUGUAUGUCCCAAACUGAAAUUCUUGCUUUCCAGAUAAAACAUUUUAAACUUA